rnacentral:rRNA from 1 species
AUUCCAGCUCCAAUAGCGUAUAUUAAAGUUGUUGCAGUUAAAACGCUCGUAGUCGGAUUUCGGGGCGGGCCGACCGGUCUGCCGAUGGGUAUGCACUGGCCGGCGCGUCCUUCCACCAGGAGACCACGCCUCCUCUUAACUGAGCGGGCGCGGGAGACGGGUCUUUUACUUUGAAAAAAUCAGAGUGUUUCAAGCAGGCAGUCGCUCUUGCAUGGAUUAGCAUGGGAUAAUGAAAUAGGACUCUGGUGCUAUUUUGUUGGUUUCGAACACCGGAGUAAUGAUUAACAGGGACAGUCAGGGGCACUCGUAUUCCGCCGAGAGAGGUGAAAUUCUCAGACCAGCGGAAGACGAACCACUGCGAAAGCAUUUGCCAGGGAUGUUUUCAUCA